rnacentral:tRNA from 1 species
GGCUUGUAGCUCAGGUGGUUAGAGCGCACCCCUGAUAAGGGUGAGGUCGGUGGUUCAAGUCCACUCC